AAAAGCAUAAAAAUAUGUCACUAACAUCUUUUGUUUGUAGCUUGAGCAAUCACAAGGUUCAAAGCUUCAAGGAGAUCAUUGGUACAAGGAUAUGGCCAAAAGAAGAUGAAAGCAAGCAUGGUAAUGGUUCCCAAAGCUCUCAUCCAUCAGAUAUGCCUCCCUAACAUCUCAAUUCAUCCUUUUGAUCAAAUCAAGUCAAAG
rnacentral:lncRNA from 1 species